GCCUCUGUGGAUGAAGUAAAUUGCCUCUUACAUUGUUGGAUUCUGCUGUGGAAAAUUUCAAAGAGGAGAUGCGGGUUCGAUUCCCACCGGAGGCA